GAAAUGCUUCGAGAGGAACCGUUGAUUCAGAUAAUUGGUUUUUGCGGCUGUCUGACAAGGCAUUGCCGCGACGCUACCAUCUGCCGGAUUAUGGCUGAACGCCUCUAAGUCAGAAUCCGU
rnacentral:ncRNA from 1 species